CCUACGGGAGGCAGCAGUGGGGAAUAUUGGACAAUGGGGGCAACCCUGAUCCAGCCAUGCCGCGUGUGUGAAGAAGGCCCUCGGGUUGUAAAGCACUUUCAGUGAGGAAGAACGCCUGGUGGUUAAUACCCAUCAGGAAAGACAUCACUCACAGAAGAAGCACCGGCUAACUCCGUGCCAGCAGCCGCGGUAAUACGGAGGGUGCGAGCGUUAAUCGGAAUUACUGGGCGUAAAGCGCGCGUAGGUGGCUUGAUAAGCCGGUUGUGAAAGCCCCGGGCUCAACCUGGGAACGGCAUCCGGAACUGUCAAGCUAGAGUGCAGGAGAGGAAGGUAGAAUUCCCGGUGUAGCGGUGAAAUGCGUAGAGAUCGGGAGGAAUACCAGUGUCGAAGGCGGCCUUCUGGACUGACACUGACACUGAGGUGCGAAAGCGUGGGUGGCAAACAGGAUUAGAUACCCUAGUAGUC
rnacentral:rRNA from 1 species